GACUUAAAAUCCGUUGGCUUUACAGACCGUGAGGGUUCAAGUCCCUCUACCCCCA
rnacentral:tRNA from 1 species